AGCACCAACAUAAGUAACUUAUGUUAGCGAUCUAUAAGGAAGCCUUUAUUCUCCACGCUCAUAAAAUUGUAAACAGACACAAAAGUGCACAGCAUCCAUAAAACACCACGGCGGUAGGAGGAUGCUGAGCUCCUGAGACGACUCAGAGGAUGGGGCCGGACGUCAGGCCCGGCUGCACACCUCUCGGGCGAUGCGGAAAGCGCGAACUGCCAGAGGAGAAGCCGAAGUUGCUCGCUCUGGGGCAACCAUGUCAUGAGACAGCCCAGUGGAGAAGUCUACAUCGUGGGGAACUCCCUCCAGGUAGCCUCGAGCCAACAACCAGCCAGGAAUUGAGCCCUCAUUCCAUCAGCUCCUACCAACAGCCAGGGAGCGAGCCGACAUUGCAGCUGAGCCGUGCGUCCCCCUCGGGUGAGUCCUCAGAUGAAACCACAGCCCUGGCAACAGCUCGGCUCAGCCACACCUGGGUCCCUGACUCACAGAAACAGUGAGAUCAUAAAUGUUUGUUGUGCUCAGUUGCCAAAUCGGGGGGUCGUUUAUUCGGCAGUAAUAACUGACUAAUACACGUUAGGUGGAACCACGUGAAAUUGUGGCUUAGUGAGUUCAAAAAAUAGUUAAAUACUAACAGUUUUCUAUAGGUCAAACUAAAUGCUGUAUUCUACCCAUUGCAUGUAACAUCUUGCAAACUGCAAACGUGCGAUUGAAACUCACUCCAAAAAAAUGUGGAAACGGGCCCUGAGGGGCUAAGUGAUUUCCCAGAAGUUACAGUCUGCAUGCGUUGGAGUCAGGACGCAAACCCACGACAUCAAGACCCAUCCUCCUAAGUGUGGCGUGCCCCCUGUGUGCCAGGAAUCGUGGUCGGCACCAGGGGACAAAUGAAAGGGCCACCGCCAUUGCCAUCAAGAAGACAGAAGGGCUCCCCACCAGGCUUUAAACAAAGAGAAAGCCGGAACCACUGGAGCAGAGUUGAUCUGGGGAUCCCCGCAACACCCCCACGGACCAAAGGGUAAGCAUGAAACACACAGACACCUGAAUGUAAUUAUCUUGAAGCGAUCAGACCUCUGGUAUUUCUUCAAGGAGGCUGAUCCUGCCUCGAUCCCUCCGGUCUAUCAGUCACUCUCUCACAAUUAUUUGCCUUUUCUAAUCAGCAGGCAGGCUUCUGAAGCCCGUUCUUGAACACAUUUAUCAUCUCCAAUACUAUGUGCAGGGAAUCAAUUUUAUUUUCCCUUGCUGAGCCGACCAGCAUCUCGUUUGUAAUUAGAGAAGUACGCGUGAGGAAAGGAUUUGUUGUUGCUAAAUUAGGUCAAAUGUGCUCUUCCUCGGAGUGUCUGGCAUGUUUGCGAUGUGCCCUGCGUUGCUGGCUGUGGGCGGGCUCAGGCUGCGUCACCUUCCUCCCCUAAAUCAAUAGCCGUCAUUAUUUUUCCCCUCGAAGUCACUUCCGGAAUUGUCUCCACGGCCCCCAGGCUGUCCGAGGGAUCCACUGAUGGAGGGAGAUUGUUCCCAGUCCACUAGGGCUAGAUCUGACAUUGAUCUUGCCAAAUCCUAGUAGAAACUCUGCUACUGGGAGCAGUGCCACUUGUGAUGCCCCACCUGUGUCCAAGUGGUCACUUCCUUGGGGACCACGGGGGCUCUUCUAAUCACAGUUGGGAAGCAGAGAGGAAGUUUCAUCGCCUUGAACCCUUGGUGGCAUGAGAACUGUGCUUUGCCUUGAGAGGAACUUUCAAGAACUGCUCUGUUGGGGGGAGGGGUUGGCCCACAAUGUGACCCAAUCUGGGAUCUCACUGCCCUCUUUCUCACCCUCUUACUUCCCCAUACAGAGUAGACAGCUGGGCUCGGGAACCACACCUCUCAUGGGCUCUUUAUCUGGGGAGUUUGCCAGAAAGAGAAAAUGGGAAACACGUCCUCAGACAUCACAAGAGAGGAUGAUCCAGCAGCAGCCCCCCCCCCCCCCGCCAACCCCGUUUUCACAUUAAAGGCAUACCUGACAGCUUGCCCCACGGAGAAACCUCAUAAAAAUUAAGAUAUUCUAGAUUUUCUUAGGAAAAUGAUAUAUUGAAGAACGACUCCCCGAGCUGAUAAUGGUGGUGCAUUUGAAAAAUAGACCAGAGCACCGUGUUUAAAAGCCUAAAGUCAUAAAAGGUAUUAUGAAUGGAUGGAUUGGGAACCUCUACAAGCAGACUUCAUUGAUGUCACCGUAAACGAUGAAAUGCUGUCACUCUUUUUUAUAUAUGACAAGAGGAUAUGCCGCUGCAUCCAGAUCUCAUUGUAGAAACUGUCACACUCACUGAAAUGGCAUCACAUAAGCUAUUUAUGACGAUAUGCGGGAAAAUACGAGGUUAAGAGAUCUUUAUCUGCCGUCUAUGGAAACGUGCUUCCACACUGAGGCGGGUACAGGAAAUAACCUUCAGGAUUAACCCACGACAUUGGGAGAACGGAAAAGAGAGAUUAACCAUCGGAGACACAGCUGCAUCCAGAUUACGUUUCGGGGCGUCCGGGUGGCUCAGUCGGUUGAGCGUCCGACUCGAUCUUAGCUCGGGUCUU